rnacentral:rRNA from 1 species
CCCUUAGAGUUUGAUCCUGGCUCAGGACGAACGCUGGCGGCGUGCCUAACACAUGCAAGUCGAACGGGGUGAGGCCCUUCGGGACCUUACCUAGUGGCGAACGGGUGAGUAACGCGUGAGGAACCUGCCUUUCAGUGGGGGACAACAGUUGGAAACGACUGCUAAUACCGCAUGAAGCUUUUGGGAGACAUCUCCUGAAAGCCAAAGCUUAAUGUGCUGAAAGAUGGCCUCGCGUCUGAUUAGCUAGUUGGUGGGGUAACGGCCCACCAAGGCGACGAUCAGUAGCCGGUCUGAGAGGAUGAACGGCCACAUUGGGACUGAGAUACGGCCCAGACUCCUACGGGAGGCAGCAGUGGGGAAUAUUGGGCAAUGGGCGAAAGCCUGACCCAGCAACGCCGCGUGAAGGAAGAAGGCCUUCGGGUUGUAAACUUCUUUUACCAGGGACGAAGGACGUGACGGUACCUGGAGAAAAAGCAACGGCUAACUACGUGCCAGCAGCCGCGGUAAUACGUAGGUUGCAAGCGUUGUCCGGAUUUACUGGGUGUAAAGGGCGUGUAGGCGGAGAUGCAAGUUAGGAGUGAAAUCUAUGGGCUCAACCCAUAAACUGCUUCUAAAACUGUAUCCCUUGAGUAUCGGAGAGGCAAGCGGAAUUCCUAGUGUAGCGGUGAAAUGCGUAGAUAUUAGGAGGAACACCAGUGGCGAAGGCGGCUUGCUGGACGACAACUGACGCUGAGGCGCGAAAGCGUGGGGAGCAAACAGGAUUAGAUACCCUGGUAGUCCACGCUGUAAACGAUGAAUACUAGGUGUGGGGGGACUGACCCCCUCCGUGCCGCAGUUAACACAAUAAGUAUUCCACCUGGGGAGUACGACCGCAAGGUUGAAACUCAAAUGAAUUGAC